AUGCCUAAUCAAGGAGAAGACUGCUAUUUUUUUUCUAUUCUACAUGUACCAAAGGUGACAGCUGCCCAUUCUGUCACUGUGAAGUUGCAUUAGGAAAUGAAACUGUUUGCACAUUAUGGCAAGAAAGGCGCUGUUUUCGACAGGUGUGCAGGUUUCGCCACAUGGAGAUUGAUAAAAAACGCAGUGAAAUUCCUUGUUAUUGGGAAAAUCACCCAACGGGAUGUCAAAAAUUAAACUGUGCUUUUCAUCACAAUAGAGGACGAUAUGUUGAUGGCCUUUUCCUACCUGAGCAAAACUGUGUUGCCCACUGUGCUUGAGUCACCAGAAGAGGAAGUGAAGGCUAACCAACUCUCAGUUCAGCAGAACAAAUUGUCUGUUCAGUCCAAUCCUUCCCCUCAGCUGUGGAGUGUUUUGAAAGUAGAAAGUUCGGAAAAUGUUCCUAGCCCCACGAAUCCACCAGUUGUAAUUAAUGCUGCAGAUGAUGAUGAUGAUGAUAUGAUGAUGAUCAGUUUUCUGAGGAAGGCGAUGAAACCAAAACACCUACCCUGCGACCGACUCCUGAAGUUCACAACGGAUUACGAGUGACUUCUGCCCGGAAACCUGCAGUCAAUCUGAAGCAAGGUGAAUGUUUGAAUUUUGGAAUAAAAACUCUUGAGGAAAUUAAGUCAAAGAAAAUGAAGGAAAAAUCUAAGAAGCAAGGUGAGGGUUCUUCAGGAGUUUCCAGUCUUUUACUCCAUCCUGAGCCCAUUCCAGGUCCUGAAAAGGAAAAUGUUAGGACUGUGGUGAGGACAGUAACUCUCCAGCAAACAAGGAGAAUAACCCUUGGUUAGAUUGAGUCUUACUGAGAGACUGGGGAAAUGAAAAUUUUCAGCAGGUGGUGACAGUGAUCCUCCAUUAAAGCGUAGCCUGGCACAGAGGCUAGGGAAGAAGGUUGAAGCUCCAGAAACGAACAUUGACAAAACACCAAAGAAAGCUCAAGUUUCCAAGUCUCUGAAGGAGCGAUUUGGACCAUGUCAGCUGGUCCAAAUAAUGAGGAGGCAACAGAGAAAGUUAAUAAAGUUGGUGAGAUCCAUGUGAAGACCAUUAGAAGAAAUUCUUCUUGAAAGAGCCAGUCAGAAACGUGGAGAAUUGCAAACUAAACUCAAGGAAAGAACCUUCAAAAACUGAAGAUUCUACUUCAGGUACAAGAAGCUCCUCCACUAUCCGUAUCAAAACCUUCUCUGAGGUCCUGGCUGAAAAAAAACAUUGGCAGCAGGAAGCAGAGAGACAAAAAAGCAAAAAGGAUGCAACUUGCAUCAAGCUAAAGACUGAUAGUGAAAUUAAAAAAACAGUAGUUUUCCCACCCAUUGUUGCCAGCAAAGGGCAAUCAGAGGAGCCUGAAGGUAAAACAAAGUCUUUGCAGGAGGUGCACAUCAAGACACUGGAGGAAAUUAAACUGGAGAAGGCACUGAGGGUGCAGCAGAGGUCUGAGGGCAGCACCAGUUCCCCGUCUCAACAUGAGGCCACUCCAGGGGCAAGGCAGCUGCUGCGAAUCACCAAAAAAAAAAACGGAUAAAAGAAGAGAAGAAAUUUCAGGAAGGAAAUGAAGUUGAUUCUCAGAGCAGUAAUAGAACAGAAGUUAAAGAGCCUUCAGGUGAGACCACAGGAAUUGACAUUACUAAAAUUCAAGUCAAGCGAUGUGAGACCAUGAGAGAGAAACACAUACAGAAACAGCAGGAGAGGGAAAAAUCCGUCUUGACACCUCUUUGGGGGAGAUGUAGGCUCUUGCAAUACCUAAGUGGCAGAGAAACCACUGUUCACUGCUGUGCCAGGAGCCACACGGCACCUAACCAAGCGGCUUCCCACUUGGUCAUCCCAGAAGGUAGAGGUAGAAACCUCAGGGACUGGAGACUCAGUAUUGAAUGUGAAAUGUGCAGAAAAAACCUUGAAAAAAAGGGGUAAAGCUAACCCCAAAGUGAAUGUGAAGCCAUCUGUGGUUAAAGUUGUGUCAUCCCCCAAACUGGCCCCAAAACGUAAGGCAGUGGAGAUGCACCCUGCUGUCAUUGCUGCUGUGAAGCCACUGAGCUCUAGCAGUGUCCUACAGGAAAUCCCAGCCAAAAAAGCAGCUGUGGCUGUUGUCCCGCUCAUCUCUGAGGACAAAUCAGCCACUGUGCCUGAAGCAGGAAAUCCUAGAGACAGUCUUGGCUGGCCUCCAACCCAGUCCUCUUCAGAUCCUUCACGCCUGGAGGUGUCUGGCCCUUCCUCAUCUCAAAUGAGCAUGAAAACUCACCGACUCAGCUCUGCCUCAACAGGAAAACCCCCACUCUCUGUGGAGGAUGAUUUUGAGAAACUAAUAUGGGAGAUUUCAGAAGGCAAAUUGGAAGCCAAGAUUGACCUGGAUCCUGAGAUGGAUGAAGAUGACCUUCUGCUUGAGCUGUCAGAAAUGAUUGAUAGCUGAAGGUGGUAGUGAGGACACUUAAAAAAAAACUCACCAAAAAACUGGACUUAGUUUCAUCUAUUAUAACAUUUACCUGAGAGGAUCAUUUCUUUAGUCUAGAAUUUGCCCCAAAUCAGAAGUAUACCUCUGAAUUAUCUGUAUGUGUCCUGGAUUCCUUGGGGUCAGAUUUUUAAAGUUACUUUAUAACCAUUUUGUCCAUUUGAUGCCAUUGUUUAUCAUCUUUUGAGAAAAAAGUUCUGUCAUACCCGUCUCUCCACAAAAAAGAGCCUGAGAGGGAGAUCCACGUGAAAGGGUACAAGCGAAUUGAGUGACUCCUUGAGGUGUUUGUCAGUUUUGGCUUUUUUCUCCUUUGUUGUAUUCUUUAUGUGUUGUCUUGAUGUACUUAAUAUUACCUGAGUUUGAAAUGGAUGAAGACAGCUGCUACCAUUAAGGACCAAAUUUUAUGCUACCACUAAACAAAAAUACCCACUCA